GUGGGGAAUAUUGCACAAUGGGGGGAACCCUGAUGCAGCCAUGCCGCGUGAAUGAAGAAGGCCUUCGGGUUGUAAAGUUCUUUCGGUGAUGAGGAAGGUGUUUGUUUUAAUAGAACAAGCAAUUGACGUUAGUCACAGAAGAAGCACCGGCUAACUCCGUGCCAGCAGCCGCGGUAAUACGGAGGGUGCGAGCGUUAAUCGGAAUGACUGGGCGUAAAGGGCACGCAGGCGGUGACUUAAGUGAGAUGUGAAAGCCCCGAGCUUAACUUGGGAAUUGCAUUUCAUACUGGGUCGCUAGAGUAUUUUAGGGAGGGGUAGAAUUCCACGUGUAGCGGUGAAAUGCGUAGAGAUGUGGAGGAAUACCGAAGGCGAAGGCAGCCCCUUGGGAAUAUACUGACGCUCAUGUGCGAAAGCGUGGGGAGCAAACAGGAUUAGAUACCCCUGUAGUCC
rnacentral:rRNA from 1 species